GCAAGGCUGGGCUUUAUGCCUGGGAGCAGCACCUGCAGCCCUGUCUCGCUUGGGGGAUGGAAGGUCAGCAGAAGAGAGCAACAGCCCAGGGAUGAGCAAGAGCUGGUGGAUACCCACGAUGUGGCAGUGUCUGCUUUAGACCCAUGCAUGAGCAAAAAGCCAUUUUAGAGCAGACCUAAAGCAGUUUUGCCCCGAGCUGCAGGGAGGUCAGAGCAGUACGUGAGCACAACGGGUCCAUGGGGAAGUAUGUACUGCAUGAGUAAUGCUGGCCAAAACCCUGCUUCAUCUGCUGAGAAUCACACUGGGGCAUCGAUCGACUGAAGGGAAACUCAGAAUUAAUCAGCAGAUGAAGAGCGUGAUAUAUGAGCCACAACAUAUUUCACAAUAUCACUGUGCUGAAAACUAGGUUACAGCACAGACCAAAGUCCAGCACUCACUGAGCUUCUGUUUGAACACAACAAGCUUGGAGCUUUCUGAAAAAGCUGCCGUCUCAGAGUUGUUUUAUUUAAGAAUAUGGACCCACAUAAUAACACCAAAUAGCAAUUUAAACCUCCACUAUUUCAACACGACAUUAUUUUAGUCCAGAGUUUAUCAGCAGGGUUAAAUCCCAAAUGGUUUCUGUUAGGACCCUCUUUACGGCUUCACUGAAAGGCAUGUUAGUGGAAUCCUGGGCUCUACCACUCACCAGUAAGCAAGCCACAAUCUGCUCAUGUUGCUCAGCCCCACUCAGUGCUUUGGGAGGAGGACACAGUAAUUGGGUAGGUUUGCCUAUUAAUCCCAUAGAACACAUUUAGAGCAACUUUUCUUUUCCAUUUUGUAGGAAAAAAUUAGUCUUCACAUCCAUCAGCCCCUGCACUCCCACUCUCUUUUAGAAAGGAGCUGAAUGAAACACAAAGAUCUCCAGGAUCAGGCCUUUUUCCAAUCCACAUUCCUACCUCGCUGUGAUUUUCUUGGCACUGUUUCAUUUAGAGCUCAGCUUCUACAUCAUUUUACACAUUUUCUGAGCCCUGUAAUUACAUUUCAGUUGCACGAAGGAGGACUUGGAGAGAAGGGAGGGUGAAAAACAGCACAGUGUCCCCACCACACUCACACCAGUCUCUGUGCAGUCCCCACAGCAUCAGUUUUUGGACAUUUUUCCCCUCAAACUGCUGCUCUCACAGGUCAACUGUCUGAACUGAUGUGAGUGAACUGAUGGGAGUGGUGGCACUGAUGCACCUGCUGGACUGCUGCUCAGGGAGGAGGCCAGUGUGCACCGUGUAAAGUGAAGCACUUUGAGGUGCUCAGUAGACAAAAAGGCCAAGGAUUAGGAGGCGUGAAAGCUGCUGAGGUGGUCAGGGCCUACAGCUAAGUCCUGCAGAGGAAGAUUCAAGCCCAAGCACAGCAUCACCACCACCCUCACCUUCCAAAGAGGAGUCCUCACUCGGCUCCUGGGAGUGCUCUGGUCCUCCAGCUGCAGAGCCAAGUGACUCAGGCUUUGCCCUGACUCUGACUGAUCUGCUUUGUAAUGCUUACGCUUUAGCCAGAUUGCUGCAGACAAGAACAUCCACCUGGGUCUGUACUGAGUCAUUUCCACGUGGCCCUGGGCAAAACUACGCUCCCCACCGGCGAGCACAGAGAUGCUCUGCUCCUGGAAGCCUUGCUGAUACAGCUGUUGGAACUGCCUGCAGGAAACAGCCCUGAGAAACAAUCACCUCAAUCAUCCCAAUUACACAGAUGCUACAAACACACUUCCACCUGUGAGGAUGUCACUCAUUCCCAAGAGAGGAUAUGUCUUCAGGAUCUGACAUCUUAAUGGCUAAAUGACCACAGAGGAGGAAAUCAGAGCUGUCUGGGUCUGGAGAGAGAGUUUUCGCAAGUCAUCCCCUCCACAAGUCAUGCCCUGCAGGCACAGGGAGGGGGAGCUCAGCACAGACUUCUCCCAAAGCCACACAUUUGUCUGCAGAACGUGAAACAGCAGCUUUCCUACCUGCCUUAACACACGUAAAUCAAAAGGUUGCAAACAUCUGCAUUUCUGCCAUCACCUCAGCCAGUCAAACCACCUGCAAAAGCUUCAUCAACUUCAGGGAGGCAGAAAGAGGCUCCAUCCGUAAUCAAAGCGUUACGAAAGAUGCACAAAUCAAAAGGCUGGAGAGUUCCUGGAGGCACGGAUCUAUUCUGGUCACUCUCUCUGGAAGAGCAGCAGAAUAAAAUAAACGUACAUGGAACUGGUCAAGGGACGGAGGCGGCCGUCCUGGCUCCACAGGUCAGCUGUGUUUGUGGUACGAAGGGCUGUGUUGGAAGGUUUGGCACUCCAUGGAACCUGCAAGUCUGACACAGAUUGCAGCUCAAACACACACAUCUGCUCCAGCAAUUUCAGGGAUCACCAGCUGGGAUUCUGGGUGAAAGAGAGGCACCAAGACAACAAAAUGAAGCGAAAGAAGGGGCAAAGGUAGAAAGAAGGUCAAGUUGUAGCCUACUGAUGUCCAUACACACUUUUUGGGCAAAGAUUAAUGGGAUCAUCCUGUAGGAAGAACCAUCUGGAGAGCUGUCCUGAAGUCUCCUGACAUAUCUCAGCCAGACAGGAAGUAUCAGUGAAGACCAAGAGAUUCCUGAAGUGUUGUAACGAUUAAUCAUAACGUUUGUCAAAACAUUUCUUACAAUAAGAAGUUUCAAAUAGCAGUAUCUUCUUACUGUUUCCGUGGGUAUAUAUAGAACUCCUCAGAUGAUCUCAAACUCCUCUCUCCCAUAGCCCCACGUCCCACAGCAAAUUCAUGGGCACUUUCUUUUCCACUGGAGUUUCUUGGUAAGAAAUGAGUGACGCCGCAAAGUCAGCUAUGAUACAGUACAGAAUUCAAUAAUGAUUUGGGUUUUGGUUGGUUUUUUUUUAACCAUGGUACUGUUUCCUUGAGAAUUAAUAAUAAUACAAGAUGAAGCAGCAGUCGUUUCGAAGCCUUGACUUCAGUUACCACUAUAGCAACCUGAAUAGCACAACUCUCACACAUCAGUGCAAGGCUUGUGGUGCUGACAAAGAGCGUGCUGAGCAAAGAUCCCCUAAAAAUUACUGCAUACCACAGUCUGAUUGCUGAUGAACUCAAAUACGGUCAAACAAGAUAGAGGAAAAAAGACAGAUGCAUGCGAAAAUAUGCAGAUCUUGAGAUCAGUAUGAAGUAAUGGAACUCCCCUUGGUGUCUGAAUUGCUGGUGGAUACUUAGCUCUACCAGAAUAAAGCCUCGUUUAGUCAGUGUGCUUACUGGCAACCCACACAUUCUUACCCACACAGCUGCAGAAUAGCCAGCAAAAUCAAGACAGGGCUAUAAAACAUACAUUCAGCAAGCAAAGACAACACGAUCUGCCUGCCUACAGACUUGCCAACUAUCACUGCUACUCUCCUCGUCCCACCACAAUGCAGCUUCCAUGAUAUUCCUCCUCUCUCCAGUUCCCUCAUCCUUCUGGUCUCCUCCCCAGCAGUCGGAUGAAAGUAAAAUGCAUCCUCCAUGUGCCCUCAUGGGCCAAGGGCAUCUCACCUGCUGUGGAUGCCAGUGUGGGCUCACACUGAUGGUGAACACUGACCUCCAGCCUUGAAGACAACAUCCCACUGGAUGCUUCCCUGUUGAGUGACCUUCCCUAGCUGACUUUACCUUGAGCACAGGGGCUGGACCAGACCAUCCAGGGGGUCGUGCCUCCCUCAGCAACUCCAUUGCUUUGUGAAAUGCCUCCUGAAAACGUCUCAGAACUGUUGCAGAACAGACAGUCCUCAUAAUGUGAUUCAGAAUUGUUUACUUGGUUACAGCAGAUGCGAGCAAGGGAGAAGAAAUACAUGUUUGUAUCAAGACCUUUACCUUCACGUUAAAUUAAAACCACAAGCUUCUCAUGUAACCUGCCAGCUGCCUAACAAUUUCCCAGCAUCUCCUUACUCAUUAUCAUCAGUAUUCAUCAUUUUAUAUCUCUUCCAAUUAUUUCGCUGCUGCCGUGGGAAUAUUAGACUGACAGUCUCCAAAACAAUACUCAACUUUUAUCAGAGAAUUCAAGGGAAAACAGAAAUCCUUCAGAAGCGAUCGUGGCAGAGGUUGACACAUCUACCUGUACUGUGACGCACCAAAGACAGGAAUAAUUUGUUACAAGUAUAAUUUCUAAUAUUGAAAAAUGGAGGAGAAAUUGUUGGGCUUGUCAAACUCAGUAAUUCCUUUACUCUCAGCUUUUGUUCUACACCUAAUUACUGUUAUCUCAUAUUCCAGUAGGUGCAAGACCAGAUUGUUUAGCUUAUGGAUGACUCCUCCUUCCUCCCCCUACCCAGCUGCAGUUUUACACUCUAGUAGAUCUGGAUACUUGAAACAACCUGAAGGGCCCUGCAAUUCUGCAUCUCUCCCCACUUAUAAUUGACACUAAUCAUGUAAAUGGAUUGCUCUAACGAUCAAGACAAGAACCCACUUUUCUUCUUUCACCUUUUUUUAUGUGUGCUGCACCGCCCUGCUCAGGAAGCCAUCCCUCCUGAUGGCAGCCUUUCUUUUUCUUUUUAAGGUAACAGCCACUGACUUUAAUCACACGCAUGACAGAAUUUUCCUCCAGCCAAGGAAUAACAGCUGGGACUGCCUGAAGAACACAGCAUUUACAUCAGCUAGAGAGACACAAGAGUGAGUUACUGUUAGGAGCUCAGUCUUCAGACAUGCACCAAUUUCCUUGCCGACCGUUCUCUGUUUAUCACAUCAUGCACUGGAUUGUGGGGUAAUGCUGCUGAGAGGUUAGAAAGUAAAACACUAGCACGAGUCUCAGCUGUGCAGCACCAUGAUGAUCUAAGCCAAAGUCCAAUUUUAGUUCUGAAAAACAGCAUCUCAUUGGGACUCACAGACCUACCAUGCUCAGAUUCCUCAGGUGGUUCCAAACUUCAUCUUCUCUUACGAUGGGAUCAGCAUUGCUCCCCCAGUUCCUACCUUCUAAAAUACAUCCAAGUGUGGUUUACUGACUCUUCCUCCUACUAAAUGUAACUCCUAUUUAUUUUUAAAGAGAGAUUUCAGCUCCUAGGUUCACAUGCUCAAUGAUACUAAAGAAUCAGAAGCAGCUGUUGUUUUCUACAACAAGCAACGUAAUACUUUGGAAGUUAUAAAGGACUUAUUUUUAGUUGGGUGAUAGGCUAAUACCCCAGCAGAGCAGUGCUUUAGUGCUAGAGCAAUGCAAGAAAACCAGUUACCUACAGCAGCUGUUAGCCUUUCUGAUAAGGAAAUCCAGUAGGGUCCUUGGUUAAUGGGUGCUGGAUGGGCAGUUGAUGUUAAGUAGUGACUCUGAUGGUGACAACCAGCCAUGUGACUGCAGAGCUACAAGAACAGGGGUCAUGAACACACCAUACACUCAACACCACGCUGUGGGCUCACAUGUGAUAGCUGACUUGUAGGCUCUGCUGACUGAUCCAUCACACAGAAAGAAGUUUGCAUGUUACAUGCUGAAUGUACAAUAUUGAAAUAAAGCUCCUUCUAGGCUCCAGAAGGCAAAAAUA